rnacentral:rRNA from 1 species
UACGUAGGCAGCGAGCGUUGUUCGGAGUUACUGGGCGUAAAGAGUGCGUAGGCGGUUUUCUAAGUUUGGUGUGAAAUCUCCCGGCUUAACUGGGAGGGUGCGCCGAAAACUGGAAGGCUUGAGUAUGGGAGAGGUAAGCGGAAUUCCUGGUGUAGCGGUGGAAUGCGCAGAUAUCAGGAGGAACACCGAUGGCGAAGGCAGAUCUCUGGGCCGUAACUGACGCUGAGGAGCGAAAGCAUGGGGAGCGAACAGG